GGGCCCGUAGCUCAUCGGUAGAGCACCGUCCUUAUAAGACGGGGGCACUUGGAUCGUCACCAAGCGGGCCCA
rnacentral:tRNA from 1 species